rnacentral:rRNA from 1 species
UACAGAGGUCUCAAGCGUUGUUCGGAUUCAUUGGGCGUAAAGGGUGCGUAGGCGGCGUGGUAAGUCGGGUGUGAAAUCUCGGAGCUUAACUCCGAAACUGCAUUCGAUACUGCCGUGCUUGAGGACUGGAGAGGAGACUGGAAUUUACGGUGUAGCGGUGAAAUGCGUAGAUAUCGUAAGGAAGACCAGUGGCGAAGGCGGGUCUCUGGACAGUUCCUGACGCUGAGGCACGAAGGCCCAGGGGGAGCAAAACGGGG